AUGCUAUCAGCUAGCUCCCGGGAACCGGGUCCGCUCCGGCCGCUGCACGUCUCACGGGUCAUAUUAGUUAUGAAUCAUAACUCGCAUCAUCAGAGGAAGAGCAGUACAAACAACAACAACAACAACGUAGAAACAUCCGCACGUCCACGUUCCACCUUCGUGUUUUACGCUAUUCUGGUUUUAACUCUCCUUUUUUUUUAUGCAAUAGAUUAUUCCCAAACAUCUGGCCAGGGCUGUGGGUCCUAUGGUGGUGGAGGAGGUGGAGGUGCUCACCAGGGCUAUGGUCAGUCCUCUGGUCAGAGCUACGGAGGCUACAACCAGAGCACCAACGCCAGCUACUCUCCGUCUCCGUCAGGCUACGUUUCUCCGCCCUCUAACCAGGGUGCAGGUGGAGGUUAUAAUCAGCCCUGCAGCCCCGGAGGUUACAGCAACACCAUCCAGCCCUUCAACAUGAGCUACAACCAGCAGUCCUCCUUCUCCGGCUACAGCCAGCAGCCUCCGCCCUUGUCCUCCGCCGGCUACGAAGGAGACCGCCCGGCGUCCGGCUACAACCAGCCCCCGGGCGGAGGCAGCCACGUCAGCGCCGGAGGUCAGACCGGGGCCUACGGGCGCGGCGGGGGCCACCAGCAGCCCCCCCAACCAGGAGGAGGCCGCUACAACCAACCACCGAGCUACGGUUCCGCCCCCCCACAGGACUACAGCCAGCAGAGCGGCGGCGGCGGUUACGGAGACGAAAGCCCCCCGCUGAGCGGAGGAGGAGGAGGAGGAGGUGGAAGCUACGGCGGCCCCGACGGAGGUAGAGCUCGUGGGGGGGGGAUUUGGAGGCCGCGGAUACGAUCGCGGGUUUGAUCGAGGUGGCCGAGGCGGGCCGAGAGGAAGAGGAGGCAUGGGACCGGCCGAUCGUGGAGGAUUCAAUAAGUUUGGUG
ensembl:lncRNA